UACAGAGGGUGCAAGCGUUAAUCGGAAUUACUGGGCGUAAAGCGUGCGUAGACGGUUACGUAAGUCGGAUGUGAAAGCCCCGGGCUCAACCUGGGAAUGGCAUUCGAGACUGUGUAGCUAGGAUGCGGAAGAGGGAAGCGGAAUUUCCGGUGUAGCGGUGAAAUGCGCAGAUAUCGGGAGGAACACCAAUGGCGAAGGCAGCUCGCUGGGACGGUACUGACGCUGAGACGCGAAAGCGUGGGGAGCAACAGG
rnacentral:rRNA from 1 species